rnacentral:rRNA from 1 species
AGGGGGCAGGCCUAACACAUGCAAGUCGAACGGCAGCACAGAAGAGCUUGCUCUUUGGGUGGCGAGUGGCGGACGGGUGAGUAAUGUCUGGGAAACUGCCCGAUGGAGGGGGAUAACUACUGGAAACGGUAGCUAAUACCGCAUAACGUCGCAAGACCAAAGUGGGGGACCUUCGGGCCUCACACCAUCGGAUGUGCCCAGAUGGGAUUAGCUAGUAGGUGGGGUAAUGGCUCACCUAGGCGACGAUCCCUAGCUGGUCUGAGAGGAUGACCAGCCACACUGGAACUGAGACACGGUCCAGACUCCUACGGGAGGCAGCAGUGGGGAAUAUUGCACAAUGGGCGCAAGCCUGAUGCAGCCAUGCCGCGUGUAUGAAGAAGGCCUUCGGGUUGUAAAGUACUUUCAGCGGGGAGGAAGGCGGUGAGGUUAAUAACCUUGCCGAUUGACGUUACCCGCAGAAGAAGCACCGGCUAACUCCGUGCCAGCAGCCGCGGUAAUACGGAGGGUGCAAGCGUUAAUCGGAAUUACUGGGCGUAAAGCGCACGCAGGCGGUCUGUUAAGUCAGAUGUGAAAUCCCCGGGCUUAACCUGGGAACUGCAUUUGAAACUGGCAGGCUUGAGUCUCGUAGAGGGGGGUAGAAUUCCAGGUGUAGCGGUGAAAUGCGUAGAGAUCUGGAGGAAUACCGGUGGCGAAGGCGGCCCCCUGGACGAAGACUGACGCUCAGGUGCGAAAGCGUGGGGAGCAAACAGGAUUAGAUACCCUGGUAGUCCACGCCGUAAACGAUGUCGACUUGGAGGUUGUGCCCUUGAGGCGUGGCUUCCGGAGCUAACGCGUUAAGUCGACCGCCUGGGGAGUACGGCCGCAAGGUUAAAACUCAAAUGAAUUGACGGGGGCCCGCACAAGCGGUGGAGCAUGUGGUUUAAUUCGAUGCAACGCGAAGAACCUUACCUGGCCUUGACAUCCAGAGAACUUAGCAGAGAUGCUUUGGUGCCUUCGGGACUCUGAGACAGUGCUGCAUGGCUGUCGUCAGCUCGUGUGUGAAAUGUGGGGUAGUCCCGCACGAGCGCACCCUUAUCUUUGUGCAGCGGUUCGGCCGGGACUCAAAGAGACUGCCGGUGAUAACCGGAGGAA